ensembl:lncRNA
CAGAGUGGGGAGCUGGGCUCUCUCGCACUUUAUGUAGCCCAUACAGAAACAGACCCUCCUAGGCGCGGAUGCCUUUCCCGUGGCUGCUCUGCUGUAUUGACCUGGCGGGGCACUGUUUUGGACCUGUGAGGCCAUGUACCACGGCUGCCUCCACAGCUGAGAACACCUAUGCUCAGCAGAGGAUUUAAAUUGUCUUUAGAGCUCUCAGGAUUUCAGAUCACGGCAACUCACAGCUGACCAGCCUCUGUCAGAGGGAUUUUGCUCAUCUCUCAAGCCUUCUCACAGGUGACACCCCUGGGGUGUCCCAGGUAAGAGCAAUAACAUGGGUGGAAGGAGCCUUUUAGGAACUUCUGGAGGAAGCUGGUAUGAUUGUUUUGAGCAGGAAAAACUUCUAAAUUCUUCAAACAACAAAAUUAACUUCAAACCUCACAACAUAUUAGGCAAUCAUUCAUCACUUUGUGCUUAUGAAGCAGUCACAUGUAGGAUAAAAAACUUGGGAAAUACAACAAAAAUGUCAAGGAGAUGAUGGAAGUGCCCCGAAAUCCACCACUCGGAGACGACCACCCCACACACCACACCGUUUAGAAGCCCUGACCCUCUCCAGAAGGCUGGAACCUAACUGGUGUUCUUACUUAACAUUGCCCCAUGCACAUUUUCCGAUGUUUCUAAAAGUCUUAGGAAAUAGUUUAUACUGGUGGUGUAAGAUUUCAUCACUUGAUUUUCCAUUAUUUGUUUGAAGACAAAUGUUUGAUGACGGGUGUGGUGGUUAUUUCCCGAUUUCAUUGUUAUAAAU